rnacentral:rRNA from 1 species
AUUGAACGCUGGCGGCAGGCCUAACACAUGCAAGUCGAACGGCAGCACAGAAGAGCUUGCUCUUUGGGUGGCGAGUGGCGGACGGGUGAGUAAUGUCUGGGAAACUGCCCGGUGGAGGGGGAUAACUACUGGAAACGGUAGCUAAUAUCGCAUAACGUCGCAAGACCAAAGUGGGGGACCUUCGGGCCUCACACCAUCGGAUGUGCCCAGAUGGGAUUAGCUAGUAGGUGGGGUAAUGGCUCACCUAGGCGACGAUCCCUAGCUGGUCUGAGAGGAUGACCAGCCACACUGGAACUGAGACACGGUCCAGACUCCUACGGGAGGCAGCAGUGGGGAAUAUUGCACAAUGGGCGCAAGCCUGAUGCAGCCAUGCCGCGUGUAUGAAGAAGGCCUUCGGGUUGUAAAGUACUUUCAGCGGGGAGGAAGGCGGUGAGGUUAAUAACCUCGCCGAUUGACGUUACCCGCAGAAGAAGCACCGGCUAACUCCGUGCCAGCCGCCGCGGUAA